rnacentral:rRNA from 1 species
UACAGAGGGUGCGAGCGUUAAUCGGAAUUACUGGGCGUAAAGCGCGCGUAGGCGGCUUUGCAAGUCAGGUGUGAAAUCCCCAGGCUUAACCUGGGAACUGCAUCUGAGACUGCAUUGCUAGAGUAUGGGAGAGGGAAGUGGAAUUUCCGGUGUAGCGGUGAAAUGCGUAGAUAUCGGAAGGAACAUCAGUGGCGAAAGCGACUUCCUGGACCAAUACUGACGCUCAUGUGCGAAAGCGUGGGGAGCAAACAGG